UCGUUUUUCUCUAAACCGUUAUCUUUCUUUCUCUCUCUCUAGUAGAACUCUGUCAAAAAAUCUCUCAAAUGCCUCUCCCAAUUUCACUUUGAUUUAUAUAGAAAUUUUGGGUUUUCGGUCUCUAAAUAUCUGAUAAUCGAUUUUUGCUUUUUCGGUGGUCUUCUUCAAAUAUUUCAAACAGACAAAAUCAAAAGGUUAGGGAUUUCAAGCUUUACUUUUCGAUUAGGGUUUUGUGAUAUAUAACAAAGAUGAAUAUCGAUUUGCUUUCAAUCUUCUAUUUUCUUGAGUUAAAGCUUUCAUAAUUAAAAAUUUUAUGUAUAAAAUCAGUGAUUUUGUGUAUGCACGGAGUGUAGGGUUUUCUGUAAUAACUUAUAAAAAUUAGGGGCUUUUUAUUUUUAUAUUUAUGGUUGUUUGGACAUAUGUUAUUCAUGUUAUUUUAGUUAUUUUAAAGGUAUUGCAAGAACUUUUCUGCUAUUUUAUUUUAGCUCACUGUUGGUGGAAUAUUUUUAUGUAAAAGUGAAUCUUUUUCUGUAUUUUAUUUGUACCUAACAUUUCUUUAAUAUGUUACAAUAUUGUAUUAUUAAUUUUAGAUGUUAAAUAUUGAUGAAUUGUGUAUAUGGUUGUAGGUUGUCCCAUGACUUCUAAGUACUUUAAUUUUAGAUGAAAAAUUAAUGUAAUGUUGGUGAGUGAAGUAGGGCUAGUUUUUGUUGGAGGUAGGACUGAGUAUUCCUUCAACAUUGAUUUGAUCACUUAUCUAUCCCUGAAUUAGUAGAUAUUGCAAAGGAUUUUGGGGUUACUAAGUUGGGAACUACUUAUAUUGCACCUUCUAAGGGUGGCAAAUUGGUAGAACUAGAGAAAGACAAGGAUUUGUUAGACCUUAGAGUAUUGUUGAAUGAUGGGGACACAAUAGAUAUAUUUAUCUGCAAUGACUCUAAUUUUGAGGAUGUGGGGCAUGUUGGCCAACAUGUGAAUGGUAAAAAAUGAGGUGGUAGUCAAUUAACUAAUAUAAACGGGGGUAGCAGGGAAUCUGAGCCUUUAUUUAUUCCACAUCCACAGAUAAUUACACCAGCUCUAACUAUAGAUCUAGAUCUAGAAUUUUCUUCUACUCUAAACACUUUUGGAAGGGUUGGAAAAAAUAUAAGAGAGGAAGUAGAUGCUGCCAGUGGUGAUGUUCAGAGAGAAGGUUCUGCUAGUGGAGAUCUAAACAAUUCCAUUACUUCCUCUGAAGAAGAUGUAGGCACUGAGGAUGAAUUUGAACUUUUUGAUGAUUAUGGAAGUGAUGUUCAUGAAUAAUUUAAGGUUGUGAAACAUGAUCUGAAGGCUUACAAAGAAAAGAAAAAAAAAAGGGAGAAAAAAUAGGAAAGAAAGACAUGAUGGGUUUCUAGGUGAGGUUGGACUAGAUGAAGGUUGUGAUGAUAUUGAUAAAGAGAGAGAAAAUCUGAAGGAUAAAUUGGGAGGUGAUGAUGAUGAGCCAUAUUAUGAAUCAUCAGAGGCUGACAGCUUUGCUAGUGAAUCUGAAGGUGAAACUGUCAGUGAUGAUGAAGUAGCAGAAGAAAACUUGAGGGCAAGGAGAAAGAGUAACAAGGUAGUAUAUGACCCUUCUUAUGAGAAAGUUAUUUGGGAGAUUGAUCAAGUAUUUAAAAAUGUGAAAGAGUUUAGAGAGGAUUUGACAAAGUAUGUUGUAAAGAAAGGGGUUCAACUAGACAAUUAUUAGAAUGAGCCACAUACAGUUAGGGUGGAGUGCAAAUAUAGUUUCCCAUGGAUGAUAUAUGCUACCAAGGAAGGUAGGAGUUCAAAUUUCACAGUCAGGACAUAAAUGCCAUAAGACCAAUAUUAACUUUCUUUGCAAUUCUAAAUAUCUAGCCAAUCAUUAUAAAAAGAAAAUUAUUUCACAACCUACCAUUAAAGGGUGUGAAAUACAAAAAUCUUGUCCGGGAAGACUUUGGUGUGUAUGUGGGUAAGGCUAUUUAUUUAAAAACAAGAAAAUUUAUUUUGAAAAAAGUCACGGGAGAUCAUAUUGCUGAGUUUGGUAGACUUUAUGACUAUAGAGAUGUGCUUCUACAAAUAAAUCCUGGUAGCACAUGUGUAGUUAAGGUAGCUAAUUUAGAAGAUUAUAAGAAAGAGUUUAUAAGCUUAUAUAUAUGCUUUGCUGCUAUGAAGAAGGGAUUCAUGGAGGGUUGUAGAAAGUGUAUAGGACUGGAUGGUUGUUUCUUGAAGGAGAUAUUCAAAGGACAAUUAUUAGUUGCGGUUGCCCAUAGCAUGUCCCGUUGUUGGGAUUGAACAAAAGAAAAUAUGGAUAUGGUUUAUAAGGAUAUUGCAAGAUGACUUACAGCUUAGAGAUAGAAAUGAGGUCACUAUAAUAAGUGACAUGCAAAAGGUUUGGUUAGUGAUGCUGAAGAAGUAUUUCUAGCUUGUGAGCACAGAAUGUGUACAAGACAUAUUCUGUCAAACUGGUCAAAAAAUGGAGGGGAAUUGAGAGAAGGGAGAAGUUUUGGAGUUGUGCUAGAGCAACAUUUGAGGCCGAAUUGAAAAAAGGCUAGAUAAAUUAAAUACAUUGGGUCACAAUAUUGUUGAAGAUCUUAUUUCAUACAAUAAAGAAAGAUGGUGCAAAGUCUACUUCAAAGAAUUCUCUAAAUGUGACA